GGCAAUCCUUUUUGCUUCUACAUUUCUGAGAUAUUUCUAGCUCAUUUGCUAUCUUCGAGGCACACGUUUUCUUGAGAAAAGAAUGGGUUUUCAGGGAAAUAUGUACGCGUUAUUCGUGUGUCAAUCGCAGCAAUAAAGCAUUACUAUUUUUAUUGUUGCUCCUUUGUUAGUUUCAAACUUUUAUUGCAAAAUAUAUAUAUAUAUACUAUAUAUACUAUAUAUAAAAACAAGGCCACCGAAUAAGCUGACUGGAGAAUGGACUUGUUACAUGUUGUACGUUUACAUUCGGUACACGUUAUAAAUCUGCCAUCAAGUCCCGUGUUUGUUACGUACAAUAACGAUACACGUGUAUAUUUGCUCGAAUGCUCGAAUCUGCGCCGAAAACGUGAUUCUGCUGAUCUCUGCUGUUGAUUUUUUAUCGGGGACUGAUCGAUGAUUGAUCUCGUUUUCAUCGAAUCGAGCGAGUCCAGUGAUGACGUACAUUAUGAUAUUUGUCCAAGCGUAAUGAUUUUUCGAUUGGAAGAUGCAAUUUUAACGUGAUGACACGCCCUAUAACAUGUUUCGCCAUGCCAAUAGAGAGUAGGUAUCUUUAUUUAACGUUUAACGUCAUUUAUAAACAUGGCAUGUAAAUCGGUGUAAUUAGUUUUAUAACAGGUACGUGCGCAGAUUAUAGAUUUUCACUUGAUAAUAAUAAUAAAUAAAAAAUGCUGCGUCAAUGCUGAUGCGAAGGCAAAUAUUGCUCCCUUGGACACCGGAAGCAUCCAGCGAAAUAAUAAUUGAUCUCGUUACGUGAAAGCAGCCUUGGUAUUCCACUUGUCCCGGUAAGCACAACGAGCCGAUGUAACGAUCCGCUUCUCGGCGAGUAUCUGCAAUUGGAUUGUUUUACAUUCGACUAUUCCGAGUCUCAAUUUAAAGGAGAAUUAACGAGGAAAAUCUCGAAACUUAAUGAGACAGAAUCGCGUAUUUCGAUGUCGACAUCGCGAUGCCAGCAUCGCGGAAACCCGAUCGCCAGCGAAUUCUGCACGUCGAUGAAACGCAACGUGUAAAUGACGAGGGAAACGUAUCCGAUCAACUAUCCCGUUAUUAAGUCCGAUUGCGUGGCGUGACUUUUGCUAACUGCUUUAAUUGCGGCGCGUCAGACCAAAGUUGCUCUCUGUCUCUUUGCCUCUCUCUCUCUCUCUCUCUCUUUCUCUUUUUCUCUUCUAUUUGAUCCGGUAUACCAAUAACCAAGUUUUACGUACCUCGUUCAUCAUAUUCCAUCAAACACCCGGGAGCUCGCCUAUUCAGUCCGCCUUCCCUUAAUCUCGCCUCGGCUUUCCACCAAACGCGUAGAUUAAAGGAUUUACGAAAUUAGUUUUACUUCCUCGCGUCGUCUACAAGCACAGUGCCGGAUAUUACGUUCGAAGACCAAAAUCAAGAUCGCCGUGCACGGGCACGGCGAAUCUCCUUCUAAUAUAAUACCUGAUAUAAUAGGAGGCUCGGCACUUUGAAAAGUAAAGCCUCGCGAACAAUAAUUUUCCUAAACGCUCACGAAAAUAAGGUCGAAACACUACGAGGCUGUCUCGUAGAUUCGAUCACAUUAACCAUCGUGCAACCAAUCCAGCGCAAAUAUUCAUAGCUCCAAAUGUAGCGGACUCAUUCUCAAAAAUUAAUGCAAUAAGCAGAGAUAUAAUACAUUAUUUCGUACGAUACUCCCUAAUCCACCCUCUCUGAUCUCUCAAUUCUCUGUAUUUCUUUCGUCAUCUCCCCCAGCGCCAGCUUGCCACGAACGUUUCAUCGAUUCGUCUUGAGACCGAACAAAGUAGGGAACGUUGCGCGCAUCGACGAUAGGGACGAACUCAAUUAAUACCGAUACUCCGGUUUAUACUAUGUUCCUUGCUUGCGGUAUCAAAUGAGAGAGCAAAGAGAGACAGAGGGAAGAAGAGAGAAGGAGACACACACACAAAAUCUCCAGCAGCCCAGCUCACGUCUGUCUGCAUUUGUUCCAAUUCACUUGCCGCCGAUUACCGCGCUGCCUCUCCGGGUCCACCUCGCUCGUUCCCCGAUCCUACGUCGCCGUCGUCCUCUCUACCCCAUUUUCAUCCCUAUUCUCCCAUUUCCUCCGACCCCUGUCUGCACCCGAACCGCGCCCCUCGAACCCAUCCACCGGCCGACUCGAUGGGCACGGCGCAGUGUCACGUAACCGCACUCGAAAUGUAUCGAAAGAGGCGACGUACCGACAACAUAACGACUCGCCUUUACUCGGCCGCGGCUACUCCCGCACGCUUGUGUCCGCAUUCCGUUUUCGCUCGCAGCCGUCCAUUCGAUACGCACUUUACUGCAUGAAUCGAUAUUGCGUGGCUCCCCGCGACACAACACCAUCCGCGAACGUUUCCCGUCUUUGAAUUUGAUUGCGAGCGCAAAUGUGAGAGUGACCGCGCGGACUUGGUUCAUUUGCUAUGAUUAAUGACGGGAAAACGAGACCUCAUUCGCAAUUAUAUGAAUUCCACGGAAAUUUUGAUCGUUUCCGCGACGGCAAAACUUCGUCAGAGUGAUAAUUGACCAUCGCGAAAUUAAUCUGACAAUUGCAAUUAAAGCUGCCUCACGCGCAAAGAUCGAUACGAUACAUCGUGAUGAGCGAUCGGUGUUCCGACACAACGUUAUCCAAAUUGCAUUCGCAUUUCACCCUCUUCACGCAAGCUCGCUGACGGGGAUACAUAUGUCGCAUCAUUAUCAUCUCUAUGAUAUAAGGGAAAGAGAUCGGGUUCUUUUGCGUGGCUUCUCUUAGUUCCGAUCGAAAUACGUAUUAUGGGCUGUCGGUCCGUCGGAGGAAAAGUACCGUCUCUUUAUUAAUGAUAUCCGAUAUGUCACAUUACAAGAGGGCCCAAGCGCCGAUAUAGAUAGCGGCUCUUAAUCUCCGUCUGUGCAGUCAUCAAUACAUUGAUGUCCGCGAGGGUGGUCUCUCUCCUCUCCCUCUCUCUCUCUCUGUCUCCAAGCUCCAACUUGGAUCAAGCCUUCCCAGACAUUAUAUUGUCAGCUCAUUACACCGGCAACGGUUCAUGUCACGCUUUACUACCCCCCAUGAAAACGUUGCUCUUCGAAAUGAUGGUGUGUGUGUGUGUGUGUACAGAAAUCCCCCGUGUACAGCACAACAAGUAUCGUAUACAUGAAACAUUUUACGCGUGUAUCCUCGUCCGCACCCUCUCUUCUCUCCUCUUUUCCCCUCAAGAGAUUACACAAAUUGAUAAUUCGAUAUGGCGAAAUAUAAAUACAAUAGCUGUUUCCGGGAUUAUUACGCGAGUGCACGCCUACCUGUUUAUCGCGUCGUUCCAUUUGCGUUAAUCAAAUAUUGUUUAUACGUUAUUCAGCGCGUGGAUAUUGAUACAUUGACUCAUACGUGUCUAUUGUUCCAUAUUUCGCCUUUUCCCGUGAUAAAUUCUAAAAUCGAUGCACCCCAGUGAAUCAGUCGGGAGCGGGGGCACGCUUGCGCCACUGCGGGUACAACGAGAGUGCAUUAUGAGUCUCUUGGAUCUCGCAAUCGUACGCUUACGUGCAUCACGUUGUCAUUAUCGAUUUAUAUUUGCGUCAAAUACAUUUACGGAUCGCUCUGGUCGCGCCUCGUUACGUUUCCGGCGACUGGUCGAAUCGAGGCGUCACGACUGAAAUAAAUACUAAAUAACACAAAACCGGCGCGGAUUCCGUGGCGCGUGUACUCCGUAUUUAAUAGCAGCGGGUAGCAAGAACUAAAAGCCGAUCGUGGCUUGCGAGGGCUGAGAUCUGAGAUCUUCCAACCACGCCUGAGCCUCUCCAUCUGGCCUCUGAGCGUUUUCGAGUUACUACAUACCACGGACUCGAUGUAUUCUCAAGGAUUUCAGAAGACGGGGUUAAGCCAGGGAUAAAUUUUUAAUGGUCAGAUGGAAGUUCCGGCUUCGCGGAGUAAUCGUGUGGUACACGCGAGAUAUCGGAUAGAGGGAUUAGCGUGAGUUUGGAAUUCACGGAGAUAUAACCGAGCAGAGCUCUCUGCAGCUCUCGGAGCGCGACGCGGCGCCUCGGCGAACUCGUGAUUUCUUCAUCGCCCGCGCCUUGGGACGACGUUAUUCUGUUUGCAUGCAUUAUACAGGGAAGGCGCAGGGAAACAGAUCGACGAGAACGCUCGCGAGUCCUUGGCUCACUUUUCGCUCUCGUAAUUUCAAGGGAGAAAUAAAUCGAGACGGAAUCAAGUCGACGUUAUUAAUUUCGCAAGCGAACGGUUGCUAUCUGCGCGCAAACGUUAUUAGGAGUUUUAGGUACGGGCAAAGAUUACAUAACGGAAUCCUUGCUCGAGUGUAAUGUCAUAUAUGUGGGAGUUGGAAACUCCAAGACGCUAACGUACGGGAUUAGAUAUCUGGAGUUCACAUGGCGGCGGGCCGGGGAAAUGGGUUAAAGCAACAGUCAUUAGAAGGUAAUGCGAAAGUUUCGCCGAGAAAGAAAGCAACAGUCUACCGUUCCCACUUAUUCUAUCACGCGACAGACUUGCACGUAUGUGAGGAGCGGCGUCGUGGCUGUCGGAAGGAAAUGAAUAAUUUGAAGAUGUCGGAUCGCAUGAUUGAAAUUCACAUGUCUGGGAAUCGCUUUGAACGUCAAAUUACGAGGGGGAGGAGAGGAGGGGGGAGGUGGCGGCUCUCUCCCCCUUCGGGCGAUCGCGUGAAUAAUUGCGUUACAGACAGUCAAUCCAUUUAAAUCACUCUAUUGCCGACAAAUGGUUCAUUAAAAUGCAGCGGAUCGAAUUCCUGUCGCGUCGAUUGCGUAACGCGCGCGCGUAACAGGAAUAUCCCGAUAAAUUCUAAUAAAUCUCGUCGAUGAACUUGUCGGCGGUGGGGGUGGAUCGCGUUUGUAUACAAAACUAAGUCUGCAUUAAACAUCACAGAGAGCUUUUUCGCGUGCAUUUGCAUCCGUUAAUACAUGAAAUUUUAUUUUUUCCAAAGUUACGCGCGCGAUCCAUCAUAGAAGAAAAUACAUCAAAAAACUCGCUGACCCAUUCACAAUUUAUUAAAAGAUAAAAUCACAUUCCUUCUGCAUAAAAGACAGAAAAUUAACACACUUGUUGAACUUGUUGACAUAAACAGAAUUCGUCAUUAAUUUUCCUAUAAUGUAUAUUUCAAUUUUAAUUUAAGCUCGUUAAAACUACACGUUUUCAGUCUCUGCUUUCGACAUUGAUCAGGCGUUUUCAGGCUGGGCACGUGGUUACAAAUGCCCUUCGCCACCAUGUUCUUCUGAACACGUCACGGUAUAAUUAAUGUCACUCAUAACGGCCUUACGUUGCGAAACCCUAUGCAUGUAACUUGAUACCGUGUUGUACAAAGUGUUAACAUUACGCGGCCGGAGUUUCUGCGCGCGCGCACAAUAUUCACAUAACAUAGAACCAAGAUUAAAGAGGUACGUAAGAUAGGCCUACAAGACCGUAAGUACCAGGACACAGGCCCGUGUGCUUGACUGAAUGUUCUCGCUCUAUAUCCCGCACCGGGCGCCACCGCAACACGGUCCGGCAUGCUGCGCCAGUACAUAUGUACCCAUAUACAUUACCAAUAAAUUUUCGCACAAAUCCCUCCGCCACUUCCUGACCUCCUAUCAUGCAAUAACAGUACCUGUUGUCUCGUCCUUAACACCACCGUCACGUGGAGCGUAUAAUUACAACGCGCUAAACGACAUCGCGAUUAUUCACGUAAGCGCGAUGUCCGCUUAGAACAUUUAACGCUAAUGUCAAUGCUACGUAGCAAUUAUGUAGUGAGAUCGAUCGAUUGCGUAGUAGAUUGCGUUGCUGGAGGGCGAAGUGGACCAGCCAGCGUCUGAUCGCGCCACGACGCGUUCAAGAAACUGUUAGCAUAUGCACAAUCGUACACAUAAAAAAUAAUCUGUCACUGUCAAGUGUAAUCUACUAGAUCACGAUUAGUUUGUUAGGAAAUUUAAUUUUUCAAUAAAUCGUUUGUUAUCGAUAGCGAUGUACAUACAUAUUAUUCCGAAAAUUUUGAGAUCGUGCAGACAUCGACAUCCGACGUAUGAAAUUAGAAUAAAAAAAUAUUCCGACGAGAUUAUGAUAAAAUGGAAGUAACGUUAUACAAGGUUUAGCCCUCGCUCCCGACGCAACAGCCAAAUUACUGACUACACACAAAUUACGAACUGGAUACGUAUCUCCUCUUACCAACUCCUUUUCCUCCUACGCUGCCGUGCUUGAUCAUAGAGCUCGUUUCAGGAUUACGCGUACCGACGGGCGACCUGGGCCGUAAAUAUCGCUCUCGUUUUACGUGGAUGCGGCUUCUCAUCGGCAAAACAAACACGCCCGAGGUAAAGUUACCCUAACGAGGGAAAUCGUGGCCCUUGAUCUACUGAAAAUGAUGUUUUCCUGUGCUUAUUAUUACCCCGCGUAAUCAAGUCGCUUCCAAUUCAGUUUGACAGAAGAAUCGCGACAUGUACGACACACAUAUGUAUAUAUAAAUAUAUAUACACACGCACACAUAUCCGCAGUGCUCGUUAUCGCGAGCAUUGAAUGUUUUAACGGUCGUGAAUCGCUGCUGCACGCGCACAGUCGUCCGCAAUCGUGUUUUUACGUGACAGUAACAACCAGAAGCGAAACCGGUACGGUUUCCCUCCGCGAAGAUAAUAAUUAUGUCGGGAUAUUACAUUUACUAUGUAUACGAUUUGACAUUUACAGAGCGAUCACUGGGUGACCCUAACAGUUUAGCUACUGACACAGUUCGACGGCAUAAUAACGAAUACUACCUAACACUAUCGCGCACUCAGUUACAAGAGAAACCGAGAUAGAGUGUCAAACACCGCUGCAAGCAAUUAAUAAUAGCUACGAUCUAUAUACGUGAUUUAAUGAAACGCGUUAUUACGUUCUGGGAUCCAAUGCAAAUAUCUAAAUGUCCAUCCGCAAAUCGACCCUGACGAAACUACGAAUCGAGCAAGAGAAAUGCGCGAUACCUAAUAUCCGAGAUUGCUUAUACGCGCCGAAUAUAAAAUAUAAAAUUAUGAAUCGCGCGAAGCCUCUAUAAAUGGGACUCAAACAUCUUUCUCGUAAAACGCAAAAAAUGCUCAUUCUUUCCCGCCACUUUAGUUGAUUAUCCGAUCGUCGAUUAGACGCGCACGCAAAGAUUGGCGGCAAAGUUUCGCCCGCGGUGAGCUGCUCUGCCACUCUGCCGCGUCCGAUACUCGCGGGUAAACGCCGUCGAUGAAGAAAGGAAAGAAAAAAGAGAGGGUAGGUAGGUAGAUAGGUGGGUGGAAAACCAGCGUGGCACCCGAUACCGGCUUUCUCAUUAUUUUAAGUGACUUCAGAGGCAGCGGCAGCGUGUAUAUGCGCACCAUAUAUCACCACUUGCCACUCAGCCCUGCAGUAUCGUAUAAUCGAGUUGUCAGGCAAACUACCCCUUACGGAGAAUGGGUCUACUAUCGUUGUCGCCGCCGCAGACGCCACCGACGCCAUAGUAGUCGCCUAAUGCACGCGUUAUUACGUUACGCGCAUUUAAAACUCCCCUCCUAUUAGCAGUUUGCCAUCCUCUGUUGUCUGGAUCGAAUCCAAGGAAGAUGCCGGCGCAACCAGACGACGACGCGCAGGUGCAGCUUAGUCGGGUGGUCGGAUUUAAUGCUGGGAAAACUGUCGCGAGUCAUCGUCACGGUAGCGAUUUUAGAAAGUCUUCGAAAGCUGCGCUGAUGACGCACGUCGCUUUUGCAAUGUUUCUCGUUACGAGUAAUUAUGUCACCAAGCGAAGAGAAGAGAGAACAGCAUGUAUCACCAUCCUCGAGAAUAUUUGCUGAUCUGUAUGCAAUCCAACUUGUUAAACAUUAAUUAACGACCUGUUUAACAUCAACGUUCCGAGUCGCGAGACACAAGCACGUUUCGGCGACGCACGAGUCGGUGAAUCGAUAUCAGCGUGACGAUUAUCUGGACCGUUGCUACGCUUUAAUCGAGAUAUUCAAUCGCGACGAUACACCGUCCGCCCGUACGUGCGGGCAAAUUGUUUCCAGCUGCAAGUCCACUGAUAUCGUCCGUCGCAUCGUCAUCCCCCAUUACUCGUGAGUCGGUUUGUCACUUAUAGCCGCCGUGCCCACUUGUGCGGUCGCAUACCUCGUCAGACGCAUAAGCAGCACUUCUGUUAUUGCGUCCGCUUUGAUGUCAAGCCAGUCCUUCGAAUACUGAAUUAAUUCCUGAAACGGUACACACUGCAUCGGGGCGUUUAACCGCUGCUGGCGCUGAUUGUUUAAAGGCGGACACAAUUAUAUCGAGAUAAUUUUACGACGUUUAACGUGCAUUACCGUGCACCGUCCAAAUGGAUUCCGGUGCGCCGGAACCUCGCGAGUACCGAGCGAAUGUUGCGCGGCAUCGAAAUAUGUACCUCGAGUGUGUCUGCGCUACUAUUUUGCCCGGGUAUCGUUGCACGGGGGAAAAAAGGGAGAAAGAAAUAUAAAUCGCUUCCUAGAACGAGAACACUCCAGAGGCCCGAGAAAUCCGAGCGAAAAGCCGAUAAACCAUGCUGGUUUUAAUGAACUUUCAUUUUUCCGCGCGAACCUUUGGGAAUACAGGUAUAACAAUUUUAUUUUCGCGUAAAAGGGAUGCCGAGAUCGAGUUGGAACGUCGUCGUUUAUUACUUUCGUUUCGCGAAUCUAUUUGUAGAUUCAUAAAGGGCCGGACUACGGUUUUCUCGGUUAUAUAUUAAACACCGGCGAAAUGUUUCAUUAAUAAAACCGUAGCGCGCAAGAUCGCUCGAUGACGACGCGUUAAAUGAAAUAAUGGACGCAUCAGAUUUUUGCGAUAUGCGAAUCGCGAUCGGUGCUCUCUACAAUGUCGUACAUAUUAGUCGUACAAUUUUACUUUGCACGCACACGGAGUUCGAUUUUUAUCCCGCAGAUUCAUCCGGUAAAGCAAAGAUACCGUGCGAUCCGCUCUCGGCAAACCUCAGUGCAAAAUAUUGCAGCGCGGGGCCCUUCGCAUUGGAAUAAUAACAACGCGAACCGCACAUCCAUAUUCGUUUUGCGGGAAUAUGGGCUGAGCCUACCUAGCGUAACUCGUGCGCGGGGUCACUUAAUAAUGCAGAUGGAGAAUGCCCCUAGUCCCGGAACCACCAUGUGCUACUCUGUCUUCGAUGAAAUAACGGCAGGCAAGGAGGAAGAACGAAAAAAGAACGCGCGGAGGGAAACUCGUGAUGGAAAGUUUCAAGCUAGGGGAUCUCUCUUACCGAUGGUAUGCUAUUCCGCGCCAACGUCGUCAAUAACGGAAGAUAUCGAUAUGUAAUUCCUAGUUUGGAGGAUGAUGAGAAAAGUUCUCGUGCUGCCCGCCCGUCUACCCGCGCGCGCGUUCAUAAAAUAUAUAACGGAUGUACUAUUCAUUACUGUCGAACGGGGGACUCGACGCAGUGGCCAGUCGUACGAGAAAAACAAAACGUUAAGUAGAUGAGACUACUGCAGGGAACAUUGAACUUCGAACCCUCGUCCUCAUCGUCGUUGUCGUAGUCGUCGUCGACGACGAGUACGACUCUAUUUUCUAUAAGCGGAAUGAGAAACGAGACGCGCGAUAUUAAACUUUGCCGUGUUCCUUGCGAGCGAUUGAUAGUUAAGUCUCGUGUCAUUCUCCAUUUAUUGUUGCCAAUGCGGACGGCUCAAUCACUGCAAGUAUUACAUAUCUCGUCGAUUUGAUCGAAUUAAGAUGUUCUUGCCCGCUAAUGUAGACUGUUCAUCAAUAUGCUGAUGAAAAAUAAAAUUUUGUUGUAAAAGUAUAUCCACCUGAUCGCUCACACAUACACACACUGGAUAUAGUAUACAUGUAUUGAAUCGCAUGUCAGUAGUCUGAUUUUUGAUCAAAUAUGAAGAUGAAAGGGAAUGGUUUGGGUAACCUAAAUGCAACGGUUUUAUUUAAUAUCCACAGUAUCUCUCGCGUGAUUGGUUAUUUUGGAUCAACACUUUCGUUUGGGAAAUCCGUUUAUUGGAAAAUCCGCAAUUACUUAUUACACAACCCAAUAUUUGACUGCAUUCACCUAAUGCAUAUGUAUGCGUCUAACACUGGACAGAAAAGAGAAUUGAGAAAGAAGAGGUCAGCUAGUUGAUGGAAAGUGACAAGUUAACGGGUAGGCGCGUAAUACAUGAGAAAGAAUUGAUGGGCUGUCAGCCACAGAUUCCAAUCGCGCGUACAUAGUCGUUCGCAUCUUUUUCGCCGAUGGUUCAAAGGCGAAAAAUUGCGUAUGUUCCUCGAUCGCCCCAAGCUCCCAGACAAAUACAGAGUUUCUCCUUUGCUGGUGUUCGUAACAUGCAAACCAGACCCCGCCAUUCUUUGAUAGUGUACAGAAAGAAUCUACUACCACCUUCGUGCCUCUCUUCCGCCUGAAUGAAGCGCCGUUUAAUGCGGAAAUUGUACUGCACGCUACUUUCGUCGUAGAAUCCUCAUUUCUCUCUCUCUUUCUCUCUCUCUCUCUCUCUUUCUCUUUCCAUAUUUUUCAUACCAAAUUACGAUCAUGAAGCUUUAACGAGCAGCGUAAGAUAAUAAGCGGUUCAGAAAACAACUACGAUGUGUUUCAAUUAUUUACCGCGGCGUCUCGAUUUAGAACUCGCCUACUGGAAACUUCAGAGCGAUAGCAAUUCUAGCAGUUACACGUGUUGCUUUGAUUCCCGCGACUGAUCGCAGACCAAAAUCGCUGCAAUCGUUUUUCCGACAACCCGCGGAGUUCCGCAGGUUACGCGUCUCUCUUUUUCCCGUUUCAGUGGUAAAGCGUUGCUGAUGACAACCGGUUGUGAGCCAACGUUUAAUUCUUCUAGAUCGCUUGAACGCGAAAUGACGUAUUAAAUUUUAUGCGUUAACGUUGUGCGUACCAUUUUGUACAAUGUCAUCCACCGGCAGUCAAAAUUGCUCAUUACGAUAAAGCUUGGGGUGCCUUUUUAUCAAAUAUCAUCGCGUUAAUUGCGCUACACACGCGAGUGACAUCGGAAAUUUUUCAUAAUUCAACGUUGUCACGUUGAAAAUAUCUCGGGCGCGGUAAAAACGUCACGUAUUCAAUCCCAUUGCAUUUAUCAUACACAUAUAUAUGUAUGUAUUACAUAACAGUUACACUUGGCAACUCCAGAUUUCUCCUUUAAUUCAUUUUAUCUAUAUAUAUUUCUUUAAUAUUUCAUUACAUUUAUUUUAUUAUAUUUAUAAUAUUUAUUUUUCGAUACGUUAUUUCCACAUACAAGAUAAUACGAUUAACGUCGCGAGUUGAUUCUACGUGUGAGCAGAGUGACUGAUCGCCGCAGCUUACACGCACGGUCGUACUCCUACAACGCGAAUUUAAAAGAAAAAAAAA